UAAGUAGGUGGAGGAAAAGAAACCGAAUGGGAAUCUCUUAGUAAUGGCGAAUGAAAGGAGAUGUGCUUAGUGUCAAAAUCAGAUCUGUCUGACUUGUAGGCUGUAGGGGCUUUGCCAACUUGGGUGCAGGUGCAAGUCUCUUGGAAAGGAGCACCAGUGAGGGUCAAGGUCCCGUCUGGCAUCUGUCAUCCCUUGUAGACGGUCUGCCCAUUGAGAGUCGUGUUCUUCUGGAGUAGAGCGCCAAUUGGGUGGUACUCUUUGCCCAAGGAGGAUUACGUGCUUGAGACCAAUAGUGAACAAGUACCAUGAGGGAAGGGUGAAAAGGACUUUGGAAAGAGGGUUAAGAGGGCAUGAAGCUGCUGGAAGGGAAGUGGAUUGGACUUUUACAUUGCAGCAAGAUUGCAGGCUGUGAUCUUCACUUGUGGAGCAUCGCGUCUUGUGUCUCUUGCCGCUCGGUUGGGUUUUGCGUUGCGCGCCCAGAAUCUAAGCUUUGACUGGCAGAAGGAUUGCGAUCUGGACCAUGUCAUUGCCAACUUUUGGCGUAGCAUUCAACCUUGACCAAAAGGUUCAAUUUUACCCGUCUUGAAACACGGACCAAGGAGUCUAUUGCGUGUGCAAGUGCAAGGGCAUCACACCCGACAGCUCAACAAAGGUGACUGCUGGGAUCUCUGCACCAGCAACCAACUGAUCGCUUAGGAGAUGUUUGUGUAUGAGCACACUUGCUAGGACCCGAAAGGUGGUGAACUAUGCCUGAGAAGGGUGACGUCAGGGGAAACUCUGAUGGAAGCUCGUAGCGCUACUGACGUGCAAAUCGUUCGUCUGACUUGGGUAUAGGGGCGAAAGACUAAUCGAACCAUC
rnacentral:rRNA from 1 species